rnacentral:rRNA from 1 species
AAGUUGUCCUGCGGCGAAGAUGUAACGGGGCUCAAGCCAUGAGCCGAAGCCGAGGAUGCGCAUAGCGCAUGGUAGCGGAGCGUAGUGUGACAUAGGACUCCUCCUCUUCUGCAUCCCUCGGGAUGUAAUGGAGGAGAUAGUCCUUUCUGUGAAGCCGGGCUGUAAGGCAUCCGGUGGAGAGAUCACUAGCGAGAAUGAUGACAUGAGUAGCGACAAAGAGUGUGAGAGACACUCUCGCCGAAAGUCCAAGGGUUCCUGCUUAAAGCUAAUCUGAGCAGGGUAAGCCGGCCCCUAAGGCGAGGCCGAAAGGCGUAGUCGAUGGGAACCAGGUCAAUAUUCCUGGGCCAUGUGGUGGUGACGGAUCGCAGGGGUAGUUCUUCCUUAUCGGAUUGGAAGGGCUGCUGAGCGGUUCCUGGAAAUAGCCCCACUUUUAGACCGUACCCUAAACCGACACAGGUGGACUGGUAGAGAAUACCAAGGCGCUUGAGAGAACGAUGUUGAAGGAACUCGGCAAAAUACCUCCGUAAGUUCGCGAGAAGGAGGCCCAGUUUCAACGCAAGUUUUGGCUGGGGGCACAAACCAGGGGGUGGCGACUGUUUACUAAAAACACAGGGCUCUGCGAAGUCGCAAGACGACGUAUAGGGUCUGACGCCUGCCCGGUGCCUGAAGGUUAAAAGGAGGGGUGAGAGCUCUGAAUUGAAGCCCAGGUAAACGGCGGCCGUAACUAUAACGGUCCUAAGGUAGCGAAAUUCCUUGUCGGGUAAGUUCCGACCUGCACGAAUGGCGUAACGACUUCCCCGCUGUCUCCAACAUCGACUCAGCGAAAUUGAAUUGCCUGUCAAGAUGCAGGCUUCCCGCGGUUAGACGGAAAGACCCCGUGCACCUUUACUACAGCUUCACACUGGCAUCAGGCCAUGCAUGUGCAGGAUAGGUGGUAGGCUUCGAAGCAGACACGCCAGUGUCUGUGGAGCCUCCCUUGAGAUACCACCCUUGCAUUGCUUGAUGUCUAACCGCGAUCCCUUAUCGGGUUCCGGGACCCUGUGUGGCGGGUAGUUUGACUGGGGCGGUCGCCUCCUAAAGCGUAACGGAGGCGCGCGAAGGUUGGCUCAGAGCGGUCGGAAAUCGCUCGUUGAGUGCAAUGGCAGAAGCCAGCCUGACUGCAAGACUGACAAGUCGAGCAGAGUCGAAAGACGGCCAUAGUGAUCCGGUGGUCCCAAGUGGGAGGGCCAUCGCUCAACGGAUAAAAGGUACGCCGGGGAUAACAGGCUGAUACUGCCCAAGAGUCCAUAUCGACGGCAGUGUUUGGCACCUCGAUGUCGGCUCAUCUCAUCCUGGGGCUGGAGCAGGUCCCAAGGGUAUGGCUGUUCGCCAUUUAAAGAGGUACGUGAGCUGGGUUUAGAACGUCGUGAGACAGUUCGGUCCCUAUCUGCCGUGGGUGUAGGAUACUUGAGAGGAGUUGCCCCUAGUACGAGAGGACCGGGGUGAACGAUCCACUGGUGGACCAGUUGUCGUGCCAACGGCAGUGCUGGGUAGCUAUGAUCGGACAGGAUAACCGCUGAAGGCAUCUAAGCGGGAAGCCCCCCUCAAAACAAGGUAUCCCUGAGGGCCGUGGAAGACCACCACGUCGAUAGGCCGGAGGUGUAAGUGCAGCAAUGCAUUCAGCUGACCGGUACUAAUGGCCCGAUAGGCUUGAUCC